rnacentral:rRNA from 1 species
GAUGAACGCUGGCGGCGUGCCUAAUACAUGCAAGUCGAGCGAACAGAUGAGGAUCUUGCUCCUCUGACGUUAGCGGCGGACGGGUGAGUAACACGUGGAUAACCUACCUAUAAGACUGGGAUAACUUCGGGAAACCGGAGCUAAUACCGGAUAAUAUAUUGAACCGCAUGGUUCAAUAGUGAAAGACGGUUUUGCUGUCACUUAUAGAUGGAUCCGCGCCGCAUUAGCUAGUUGGUAAGGUAACGGCUUACCAAGGCAACGAUGCGUAGCCGACCUGAGAGGGUGAUCGGCCACCCGGGAACUGAGACACGGUCCAGACUCCUACGGGAGGCAGCAGUAGGGAAUCUUCCGCAAUGGGCGAAAGCCUGACGGAGCAACGCCGCGUGAGUGAUGAAGGUCUUCGGAUCGUAAAACUCUGUUAUUAGGGAAGAACAAAUGUGUAAGUAACUAUGCACGUCUUGACGGUACCUAAUCAGAAAGCCACGGCUAACUACGUG